rnacentral:SRP_RNA from 1 species
GCUGAGCAUGGUGGUAUGUGCCUGUAUUUACAGCUACUUGGGAGGUUGAGGCCAGAGGAUCACUUGAGCCCAGGAGUUCUGGGCUGUAGUGUGCUAUGCUGAUGUUGUAUCUACACUAAGUAUGAUGACCUCCUGGUAGCUAGGGACCACUGGUUUGCCUAACGAGGGAUGAACUGGCCCAGGUCAGAAAUGGAGCAGGUAAAAAUGCCUGUGCUGAUCAGAUCGUGCCUGUAAAUAGUUCAAGCACUCCAGUCUGGGCAACAUAGUGAGACCCUGUCUCU